rnacentral:lncRNA from 1 species
GUUCACCUUACAAUUACAGCCGCUCCAUCCAUUGCUCUCGUUUCACUGUUUCAUUUCGCUUUAAUGGUAACCUGAAGAUCGCUUUACAAUUAUAGAUCACACAAGCUAAAGGUGUUUUCUACCGUCGAUUAUCCUCUCUUCGUCGCAUAUACGGUUAUGGUGCAAGUCAGAUGUGUAAGGACUGGAAAACGGGGUGCGGGUCUCAACACUCUCAUCAGUCGCAAUAUUCCGACCUAUCAUGAAAUGAGACGAAACAUUCAAGUUAGAAGGCCAUGUGUUCCAGCAUUGGGUGUCUUGUCGAGUGCAGUUCUUGAGUAUUGAUCUUCUGCUCCAUGUUGAGUACGCUAGACAAAUAAAUCCAUAGCACUAUUAUUAUAUAGGAACAUCAAUAACUGCAAGUACCAUUAUAUAACCUCUAGAGAAGUGGAGAUCAUGUGCACAAAAUGAGGAGCAAACCACCUGGUUACAAAACUGCAAAUAACUGCCACUUCAGCGGUUUUUGUAGGGAGUUUAAAGGGCUGGGAUUUAAUCUCAGCAAGAUCCAAUGGUCAAUAUUGAUUUGGAGGGUGGUUAGACUUAAUGGGUUCCAUAUAUAUAUAUAUAUAUAUAUAUAACUAUGUAAAUCCCCACGCAAAAGUAUUUCAAUUUAACCAUGUAUACUUAUACUUAUAUUGAGAUAAUUGCAUACCAACAACCCCGAAAAUUCCACCGGCUUUAACACAGCAACUGAAAAUCACCGACUCUCGCCACACCAAGCUCUGAUACCAAUUGUUGGAAAUCAAGCCCUUGAACGAACACGUAAACACGAUACUUGAACGAACUAUUCGACUCAUUUCAUUAUUUAUCAAUAAGAGCACACCAAUACAGUAACCCUAACCAAAGAUUUAUACUAAAACUUAUUCUAGUCCUAACCAGACUCAUCAAACUCUAUUUUAAAUAAUAAAAUAUUAACUAGAUAAACCUAUCUAAU